GGGGAUGUAGUAUAACUUGGUUAGAAUAGUGGGCUCCAGACCCGCGGAUCUGGGUAAUGAUGGGUAUUUGCUUAUCAUUCAGGAAUUCAAAUCCCAGCAUCCCCA
rnacentral:tRNA from 1 species